UACGUAGGGGGCAAGCGUUAUCCGGAAUUACUGGGUGUAAAGGGAGAGUAGGCGGCAAUUUAAGCCAGAUGUGAAAGCCUAUGGCUUAACCGUAGGAUUGCAUUUGGAACUAAGUAGCUAGAGUACAGGAGAGGAAAGCGGAAUUCCUAGUGUAGCGGUGAAAUGCGUAGAUAUUAGGAAGAACACCAGUGGCGAAGGCGGCUUUCUGGACUGAAACUGACGCUGAGGCUCGAAAGCGUGGGGAGCAAACAGG
rnacentral:rRNA from 1 species